CAGCUUCAGCCAUGAGUGACGUCAGCGACGACGACGACGCCCCGGCGCUGUCGGCUCACGCUCUCGCCGCCCUGCAGGAGUUUUACCACGAGACCGGCACCCACGAGACCGGCACCCACGAGACCGGCACCCACGAGACCGGCACCCCGACGCCAGACCAGUUCGCUGUGGGGGCGCUGGAGGAGGACUGGUAGAAACGUGCCGCUGAAGGCUGAACGUGUGUCCUUCAGCGGAUGAGUCAGUUCUGGUACAGCGACGACACGGCGGCUCGGCUAGCGGAGGAGCUCGUACGAGAAGCUGGAGAGGGAGGCAGGUAAACACACACACACACACACACACACACACUACCAGAAGGUCGGUGGUUCGAUCCCCGGUUCCUCGGGACGAACAACACGUGUGUAACGUGGCGCCGCCUGCAGGAUAGCGUGUGUGAGCGCGCCCAGCGUGUACCAGAAGCUGAAGCAGGGCUCGGUGCUCGGCUCGGACCGGGUGUCCGCCGUCGUGUUGGAGUUCGACCGCCGCUUCGCCGUCUACGGCGACGACUUCGUCUUCUACGACUACAACGAGCCGCUGGCGCUCGCCGCCGCCGCCCGGAGCUUCGACGUCGUCCUCGUCGACCCGCCGUACCUGUCCGAGGAAUGCCUGAGCAAAGUGUCCCAGACCGUCAAGCACCUGAGCAAAGGCAAAGUGCUGCUGUGUACAGGAGUCGUCAUGGAGAAACUGGCCAAAGACCUCCUGGAUGUCCGGAUGUGCGACUUCCUGCCGAAGCACAACAGGAACUUGUCCAACGACUUCCGCUGUUUCGUCAACUAUCCGUCUCGCCUGCUGGACGCCGCGAGGCGUUCAAAGACCUCCUGACUGUGACGGAAACACAAGCCUCAAAGACUAUUUGACGACCAGCCGGCUUUCUACGAACACGAGUAUUUUACCGGCGGACAAAAUUCAUUUCAAAAAAAUAAAUAACAAAGCCAAAUAUUUAGUGUUUUCUAUUAUUUAAAAUUAAUAUAUUUUGUACCUGUUCUGAUGGACAUGUGUCACCAUGUUUUCUGACACUUCUGUGUCAAUCCAUUGAUUAUUUAAUAUCAGUCGGUUACUACGGUGAUGUCCUGAUGGUCUGUUACGAACCACCAGACAACAACAACAAAAGAAACGUGCCAUCAAGUUGCAUUGUGGGUAAUGUAGGAUCCAGAAGAGAUCUAGACAAAGUUAUGGAUACUUUUUAAUAAAAGUCUGUGUCUUGUGAACUUUA